rnacentral:rRNA from 1 species
CUACGGGGGGCUCCAGUGGGGAAUCUUGCACAAUGGAGGAAACUCUGAUGCAGCGAUGCCGCGUGAGUGAAGAAGGCCCUUGGGUUGUAAAGCUCUUUUGUCGGGAAAGAUAAUGACUGUACCCGAAGAAUAAGGUCCGGCUAACUUCGUGCCAGCAGCCGCGGUAAUACGAAGGGACCUAGCGUAAUUCGGAAUUACUGGGCGUAAAGCGCGCGUAGGCGGUUAAGUAAGUUAAUUGUGAAAGCCCAAAGCUCAACUUUGGAAUUGCAAUUAAAACUACUUAGCUAGAGUUUAUCAGAGGAAAGCGGAAUACAUAGUGUAGAGGUGAAAUUCGUAGAUAUUAUGUAGAACACCAGUUGCGAAGGCGGCUUUCUGGGAUAACACUGACGCUGAGGUGCGAAAGUAUGGGUAGCGAAGAGGAUUAGAUACCCGUGUAGUC